GACGAACGCUGGCGGCGUGCUUAACACAUGCAAGUCGAACGGAAAGGCCCUGCUUUUGUGGGGUGCUCGAGUGGCGAACGGGUGAGUAACACGUGAGUAACCUGCCCUUGACUUUGGGAUAACUUCAGGAAACUGGGGCUAAUACCGGAUAGGAGCUCCUGCUGCAUGGUGGGGGUUGGAAAGUUUCGGCGGUUGGGGAUGGACUCGCGGCUUAUCAGCUUGUUGGUGGGGUAGUGGCUUACCAAGGCUUUGACGGGUAGCCGGCCUGAGAGGGUGACCGGCCACAUUGGGACUGAGAUACGGCCCAGACUCCUACGGGAGGCAGCAGUGGGGAAUAUUGCACAAUGGGCGGAAGCCUGAUGCAGCAACGCCGCGUGCGGGAUGGCGGCCUUCGGGUUGUAACCCGCUUUCGCCUGUGACGAAGCGUGAGUGACGGUAAUGGGUAAAGAAGCACCGGCUAACUACGUG
rnacentral:rRNA from 1 species